GACGAACGCUGGCGGCGUGCCUAAUACAUGCAAGUAGGACGCUGAAGGAGGAGCUUGCUUCUCUGGAUGAGUUGCGAACGGGUGAGUAACGCGUAGGUAACCUGCCUGGUAGCGGGGGAUAACUAUUGGAAACGAUAGCUAAUACCGCAUAAUAGUAGAUGUUGCAUGACAUUUGCUUAAAAGGUGCAAUUGCAUCACUACCAGAUGGACCUGCGUUGUAUUAGCUAGUUGGUGGGGUAACGGCUCACCAAGGCGACGAUACAUAGCCGACCUGAGAGGGUGAUCGGCCACACUGGGAAUGAGACAAGGCCCAGACUCCUACGGGAGGCAGCAGUAGGGAAUCUUCGGCAAUGGACGGAAGGCUGACCGAGCAACGCCGCGUGAGUGAAGAAGGGUGUCGGAUCGGAAAGCUCUGUUGUAAGAGAAGAACGAGUGUGAGAGUGGAAAGUUCACACUGUGACGGUAUCUGACCAGAAAGGGACGGCUAACUACGUG
rnacentral:rRNA from 1 species